rnacentral:rRNA from 1 species
AGAGUUGGGGGUGCCCGAAAGGGAGCGGUAACACAGGGUGCUGCAUGGCUGUCGCCCAGCUCGGUGUCGUGAGAUGUUGGGUUAAGUCCCGCAACGAGCGCAACCCUUGCCAUUAGUUGCUACAUUCAGUUGGGCACUCUAAUGGGACUGCCGGUGACAAACCGGAGGAAGGUGGGGAUGACGUCAAGUCCUCAUGGCCCUUAUGGGUAGGGCUUCACACGUAAUACAAUGGCAGGUACAGAGGGCUGCGAAACCGCGAGGUGGAGCCAAUCCCAGAAAGCCUGUCGUAGUCCGGAUUGGAGUCUGCAACUCGACUCCAUGAAGUCGGAAUCGCUAGUAAUCGCGGAUCAG